GUGAAUCAUCAAAUUUUUGAACGCAAAUUGCACUCCCUGGUAUUCCGGAGAGUAUGCCUGUUUGAGGGUCAGUUUAAAUAAAAAUCGGUGUUGUUGAUGACUUUUGUGGUGUCGCACUGGAUUUGUGUCGUCUCGUUUUUGGUUAAGUGACCUAAAAUUUUGCGUGAUUUUUUUAGUACGUAUUUAAAUGAUUUUUCUUACGUUUGCGAUUUCUACUAGUAGGUGUGUUCAUUCUUAUGAUUCGACCGU
rnacentral:misc_RNA from 1 species